CAGCAGCCACGGGAAUACGUAGGGUGCAAGCGUUAAUCGGAAUUACUGGGCGUAAAGCGUGCGCAGGCGGUUAUAUAAGUCAGAUGUGAAAUCCCCGGGCUCAACCUGGGAACUGCAUUUGAGACUGUAUGGCUAGAGUGUGUCAGAGGGGGGUAGAAUUCCACGUGUAGCAGUGAAAUGCGUAGAUAUGUGGAGGAAUACCGAUGGCGAAGGCAGCCCCCUGGGAUAACACUGACGCUCAUGCACGAAAGCGUGGGGAGCAAACAGGAUUAGAUACCCGCGUAGUCCCUGUCUCUUAUAC
rnacentral:rRNA from 1 species